ACAAACUUGUCGAUGUUGGGGAACAAUACCAAUCCAUAGAUGAGAAGCACAAAUAUGGCUUCAAAAGCAUCCUCACUCAUGGCCUUCCCAUAAACGGUAGCUUGAGCGAUGAGGAACUCAAAAGGAAGACCUUGAAUUCCACCUUUGGUAGUCAUAUGAGCUUUAACCAAGGCUUCAUCUAUGUGCAACAUGCCAGCUAUCUCUUGAUAAGUAGGAAUAC
rnacentral:lncRNA from 1 species